rfam:Salmo salar isolate Sally breed double haploid chromosome ssa10, whole genome shotgun sequence.
AAUGCACAAAUGUGUAAUUCGCUCUGGAAAAGAGCGUCUGCUAAAUGACGUAAA